GACGAACGCUGGCGGCGUGCUUAAUACAUGCAAGUCGAACGGAAAGGCGCUGCUCUUGCUGGUUGCUCGAGUGGCGAACGGGUGAGUAACACGUGAGUAACACGCACCUGUCUUUGGGAUAACUUUAGGGAACUGGGGCUAAUACCGGGUAGGAGCUCUUGCUGCAUGGUGGGGGAUGGUAAGUUCCGGCGGCUGUGGAUGGACUAGAGGCUUAUCGGCCUGUUGGUGGGGUUGUGGCGUACCAGGGCUUUGAAGGGUAGCCGGCCUGAGAGGGUGACCGGCCACAUUGGGACUGAGAUACGGCGCAGACUCCUACGGGAGGCAGCAGUGGGGAAUAUUGCACAAUGGGCGGAAGCCUGAUGCAGCAACGCCGCGUGCGGGAUGACGGCCUUCGGGUUGUAAACCGCUUUCGCCUGUGACGAAGCGUGAGUGACGGUAAUGGGUAAAGAAGCACCGGCUAACUACGUG
rnacentral:rRNA from 1 species